UACAGAGGUCUCAAGCGUUGUUCGGAUUCAUUGGACGUAAAGGGUGCGUAGGUGGCGCCGUAAGUCGGGUGUGAAAUUUCGGAGCUUAACUCCGAAACUGCAUUCGAUACUGCGGUGCUUGAGGACUGGAGAGGAGACUGGAAUUCAUGGUGUAGCAGUGAAAUGCGUAGAGAUCAUGAGGAAGACCAGUGGCGAAGGCGGGUCUCUGGACAGUUCCUGACACUGAGGCACGAAGGCCAGGGGAGCAAACGGG
rnacentral:rRNA from 1 species